GCAACCAUAUGGGGUGGGGGAAACAAGGUACAGCACUUUGCAUAACUUACCUUUUUUGCUUCAAUGAGUUGGUCAAGGACAGUACCUUUCAUAUAUUAUGUAUUUCUUAGCUUGCCAAAGGACUUGAAGAAGUAGAUGAAUUACUUUGGAGCAGCAAACGGUCUUUCUGAACAGCUGGAUCUCAGCAAGACACAGCAAGGAGUACCUUUGAGCUUCUCUUCAACCUGAAACUUUAUGUUGUUACAUUUUAAUAUAAUUUGGAGCUCAAAACAAGAAGGGUAACUCCUUUACACUGACUUUUCUCCUACUUUUCUGAGAGCUUACCCAGGAAAUGGUCAAAGAAAGGCCACUAAAUUACAAGGACAAGAGUAUUUGAUUCACUUGAUACAAAGACAGAAAGUGACCUGGCGAAGUAACCACCUUGGGAAUAGCAAGGGUGAACGGCAGAAAGGAAAAGAAUCAUUCCCACUGACUUCACAUGACUGCAGCCAAGCCAGCAU
rnacentral:lncRNA from 11 species